AGGAAGUGGCAGAGCCGCGGUUUGGGGAAGUAACCCGGCGUUGCCGCGGAAUUCCCGAGGUCAGUGGACGUGUUUGGCUUUAGAGAUGAAGAGCGAAAGUGAAUAGAGGGUUUCUGGAGACUUAAGCUAAGCUCCGGGUAACAAAUAAAGGAGCACGUGGGGCUGUCAAUGGGGCAAGAUUGCGCUUGAGAUCCCAGAUGACAGACCUGUAAAGACUGAGCAGACCUUUGACUGACAAGACGGGAUGCUCAGUGAGACCAUCGCAACCUGCAGCUAGGACUUCAUCUUUAACUCAGUGUUCUCGCCUGAAGAAUCCCAGGGACGGGGGAGCCUGGUGGGCUGCCGUGUAUGGGGUCACACAGAGUCGGACAUGACUUAGCAGCAGCAGCUCAAGAUGCCUGUGGGAGAUACACCUGAAAAUGACAGAUACAAUGCAAUUGGGAGAAAUCUCAGACAUAUUCUUUGUAUACUUUAAAAAAAUAAAGGUUUAUAUUUUGUUGAAAUGA
rnacentral:lncRNA from 1 species